GAUGAACGCUGGCGGCGUGCCUAAUACAUGCAAGUCGAGCGAACGGACGAGAAGCUUGCUUCUCUGAUGUUAGCGGCGGACGGGUGAGUAACACGUGGAUAACCUACCUAUAAGACUGGGAUAACUUCGGGAAACCGGAGCUAAUACCGGAUAAUAUUUUGAACCGCAUGGUUCAAAAGUGAAAGACGGUCUUGCUGUCACUUAUAGAUGGAUCCGCGCUGCAUUAGCUAGUUGGUAAGGUAACGGCUUACCAAGGCAACGAUGCAUAGCCGACCUGAGAGGGUGAUGGGCCACACUGGAACUGAGACACGGUCCAGACUCCGACGGGAGGCAGCAGUAGGGAAUCUUCCGAGAUGGGCGAAAGACUGACGGAGCAACGCCGCGUGAGUGAUGAAGGUCUUCGGAUCGUAAAACUCUGUUAUUAGGGAAGAACAUAUGUGUAAGUAACUGUGCACAUCUUGACGGUACCUAAUCAGAAAGCCACGGCUAACUACGUG
rnacentral:rRNA from 1 species